rnacentral:lncRNA from 1 species
CACAAAAAGAGACCAAGAGGGAGCGCGGAGACCUGCAGGGGCGGAAUAAGAGUUCUACUAAGAGGCUAAAGGAAGCCGAGCUACCGCAGGCAGUAGCGAUUUCUGGGAGGCCAGGGAAGGAAGGAGGUCCGCGGCGGUAAACAGCACCUCUCCCCGAGUUCGAAACUCCUAGACGACCAUCCACGCCCGCCGCCCGGGUGGGGGAGGGGGUACAUCUUUCCCCCUCAACCUCCCACUACAGUUCUUUAUCCACUCUGCGGGAACCACCACAGCCGCGGCCGCCAUCUUCCUCUCACUAGUAGCAGAAGCCCGGAUGUGUAGCACGCGAGCGAAGGGUCAAAGGGGAGCACCGCCCACGAGGAAUGCCGGGAGCUGAGAGUUCGUUUUUCGAUUUCCCGCCCCACUUUCCUCUCCACCCAGCGGAAACCCGAGGCAAGGCAGCCAACGACGUGGAGACUCGCGGGCCCCUUUGCGAGGUUACUACACGGGUUGCGCCCUCCGAAGUCUUCGGCCUUACUUCCCAUUAGAACAGAGAAAUGCCAUCCACAGGCCAACAAUCUCCCUCUGAUGCCGAGCCAAAGCUGGACUGUACUGCCAUCUCGGCUCACUGCAACCUCCCUGCCUGAUUCUCCUGCCUCAGCCUGCCGAGUGCCUGCGAUUGCAGGUGCGCGCCGCCACGCCUGACUGUUUUUCGUAUUUUUUUGGUGGAGACGGGGUUUCGCUGUGUUGGCCGGGCUGGUCUCCAGCUCCUAACCGCGAGUGAUCCGCCAGCCUCGGCCUCCCGAGGUGCCGGGAUUGCAGACGGAGUCUCGUUCACUCAGUGCUCAAUGGUGCCCAGGCUGGGGUGCAGUGGCGUGAUCUCGGCUCGCUGCAACCUCCACCUCCCAGCCGCCUGCCUUGGCCUCCCAAAGUGCCGAGAUUGCAGCCUUUGCCCGGCCGCCACCCCGUCUGGGAAGUGAGGAGCCUCUCUGCCUGGCCGCCCAUCGUCUGGGAUGUGAGGAGCCCCUCUGCCUGGCUGCCCAGUCUGGAAAGUGAGGAGCGUCUCUGCCCGGCCGCCAUCCUGUCUAGGAAGUGAGGAGCGUCUCUGCCCGGCUGCCCAUCGUCUGGGAUGAAGUGAGGAGCGUCUCUGCCUGGCCGCCCAUCGUCUGAGAUGUGGGGAGUGCCUCUGCCCCGCCGCCCCGUCUGGGAUGUGAGGAGCGCCUCUGCCCGGCCGCGACCCCGUCUGGGAGGUGAAGAGCGUCUCUGCCCGGCCGCCCCGUCUGAGAAGUGAGGAGACCCUCCGCCCGGCAGCCGCCCCGUCUGAGAGGUGAAGAGCGUCUCCGCCCGGCCGGCCGCCCCGUCCGGGAGGGAGGUGGGGGGGUCGGCCCCCCGCCCGGCCGGCCGCCCCGUCCGGGAGGUGACGGGCGCCUCUGCCCGGCCGCCGCUACUGGGAAGUGAGGAGCCCCUCUGCCCGGCCACCACCCGGUCUGGGAGGUGUACCCAACAGCUCAUUGAG